rnacentral:lncRNA from 1 species
UGGGAAGGUGGAGCAAUGAAGAGAGCGCAGAGAAGCAAGUGCCAAUCUCUUUCCCUUGUCUCCUCCUCUUACCACACUUAUCGAGUACCUUUUUCUCUCUCUCUCAUCCCUUCUCUAUUCGAAAUAAUAAGUUAAUCGUUCUUGUUUUUUUUCUUUAGAUCAUUUCGAAUUUGAAUUGCUAAUUUGUUGUAACUACUUCAAAUAAUUAUUCUAAAUCCGAGUAAAGAAUACGAUAUAAAUCAAACAAACGAUAUAAAUCAAAUGUUUGGUGUCGCCUCUCGAUCACAUAAAUAAUGAUAUAUAUCUAAUUAAAACAAAAGCAUUCUCUGAAAAUAAUUUUUGUGUUACGUAAAUAUCUUGGAUUAUCCUAUUGAAAUUUUGUAAAUUUUUUAUUAAAUUUAAUUUUGAGAUAUCUUUUUAUAAAAUUAAAUAAUUUUUAAUAUUUUUAAAACAUAAUAACUAAAUAUUUGAUUAUAUUUAAUUAUCUUUCAAAAAAUAUUUUAAUGUUAUUAUUUAUAAAUAAAUUCUUGAUUUCAUUUAAUAUUUAUUAAAAAUAUUCAAGUAAUCUAAUAAUUAAUGUUAAAUAUUUUCUAUAAAUCAAUAUUAAUUCAAAUUAUAUAAUAAUAUUCUAUAAUACAAUAUAUUAGUUCACCAAAUAACAAAUCUAUUUUAUUAAUUUUAUAAAAAUAUAGAAUAACAUUUCAAAUAAAUUAUUUCUCAUCUGUUUUUUAAAUAUAUAUAAAUUAAUAAAUUUAGAUAGCAUGGAUCAAAAUUCUCUUCAACAAAAAAAUAAUCUACCUAAAACAAUCAACUAAAUUAUGUACACAAAACUAAAUACAAAUAAAUUUUUAUAUUCAAAUUAUACAGAGAUUAAUUUAUAAAAAUUAAAAUACUUGUCAACCAAAAAUUAAUCCCGCAUUUGAAAUUGUGAAUAAAAGUUAGAUUUAUUCUAAAUAAAUUAUGUUUGGCUCCCAAAAUUAGUUAUAAGUUAUUGUUUAGUCGAGCUAGCCCAAAAGGAUUCAUUUUGUAAUUGUUUAAAUAUAUAUCAUAGUUAACGUAAUUACAAAAUUUUAAAUAAACAAGAAAUAUAUCAGGUAUUGAAAUAUUGAAUGAUGAUUUUGCAUAGUCGUAAAACUAAUAUAUGACUAUGUGUAGGUUGGAGUUUCAGUAUAUUCCGGACAAUAUAUCGACUGUGUUUGAGAAGUCAGCAAAUAUAAAGUAAGUACUCCUCAAUUAGGGUGUGAACCCAGUUAGGAUGUCUUUACUCCUUUUGAACCUCUUGAGUAUUGCCAUCGUAUUAACAUCACCUAAAAAGUACUUGCACAUGAUAGAGUUGAUACCGGGAGGGUUCACCACACCACACCACAAGAGCCACAAGAGUUCCAACUCUAUUUCUUUAGAGGGAUUACCUAAUUCAAACCACCACUAUUGAAUAGAUAUGAACCUUGAUUUGGAUAAGAUCCCUCACUCAACGAUGACUCAAUUUCUAAUAGUUAUGAUAUGCGUGGACAUUAUCUGAUUUGAGCGUUAAAGAAAAAUGUAUGGAAGAAAAACUCAUUUUCUCUUUUUAUUUUAAGAUUUUCUGGCACGUAUUAUGCAUGUGUAUUAUGCAUGUAUGUAGUCAUUUUUAGAUAGUCGCUA